UUGUAGGUGAGGCCGUUGGUGCUGGU
rnacentral:piRNA from 1 species